GAGUUGGGGGAGAGGACCAGAACCACCUGCUGGAGAAGGGGAGCUACGGGGGCCGGGCAGGGUCCAAACGCCUCACGUAGGCGGCGGCGCCACGGUCUUCGGGGUCACAGGGAAGAGAAGGGCUCUCCUCAAGCGGGUGGAAGGAGGGAGGCCUCCCGAGGGAGUGAGACUCUAGGCCACUCCCCCGCAGCAAGGCAGGAUCACCUGCGACGCGGAGAGCGGUUAGAGGGCCCUGGAGUGGAAAAGGGCAGUGGGACCUGGUAGCUUGGGUUCCCUGCAACUUGGGGUUCGACCUCCAGGCAAUGAAGUAGGGAUGGUCCUGCAAGUCAAGAUUCCAGUAGCAAGAGUGCAUCAGAUCUCUGUAAGGAAAAUAACUAACAUUGCUCAGUUCCCUGUAGAGUUGCAGGGCGCUUUAACGUUAUCUCCCUUGGUUCUCCAUCAGGUCGUAGUGGACUAAUUUUACAGGCGAAGUUAAGUGACUUACCCAAAACCUCACAGCUAAUAAACGGCAGAGCCGGCACCCAGCUGUACUGGCUUCCAAUUCUGUUAGCUUACCAGCGCAUCACAUUAUCUCCAUAAAUCCCCAUGAUUCAACUAAUAUUAGACGCCCCACAGAGUCUCGCUACUCAAAACGUGGUCAGUGGCCCAGCAGCACUGACAUGAGGAUGUUAGUUAGAAACUCAGAAUCUCAGGCUCCACCCCAGACCUGCUGAACCAGCAUCUUCAACUUAACAAGAACCCGAAGAGAUUUGUGUCACAUCAAAAAGUUUGAGAAGCUCUGAUCUAGGGCUGGAAGGAGUGUUGCUCAACAAUAUCCAAAACCACAGAGGUUGAAAAGCACAAGGAAAGAAGGUAUGUUUGCACUUUGUGAUUAGGUAGUAGGGUCUUUGAGACCACAUUGUUCUUAUUGAAAGCCUGGGAAGAAAGAUCCCCUUUCUGGUCAAGUUUAGUCUAGGGAUCCAUCCCAUCUUCCCCAGUUCCCACGUGUAUGGGACAUGUCGAGAUAAGUAGAUAGAUUGGACAGUGGGAGAAAGUAGUUCUCUUCCAGUUGCUUCUAUUUUCUCAGCAAAGUGAGGAGCAAGAUCAUUUUGGCAGACUGCUAAUUGUCCAUCACAAUUUAGUCUCCCUUUCUCCCUGAAAACACAGACUGCUUUUCUCAGCCUCUCUUUCAGUUGCAUAUGGUCAAGUAUUAAGUUAUAGAACGUGAGCAGAUGUUAUGUCUGCCACUGUCAGGCCAAGGCGUUUACUUUGAGAGUACUUGUGCCUCUUUCAUGCAUUUUCCUUUCUGCCAGCUGGACCCUGGACACGGUGACUCUGAUUCAAUUAUGCAGAUGACCACAAACCUCUGGGGUUGGCAGAGCCACAAGAAAGAAGGUGCCUGGAUGAAGGAGAGCUACCCACUGACCUGGACACCCAAUUAUAGGAUAGACAGUGAAGUGCAACUACAGCCCGCAAAUGAAAAUGAAUAAUAUUAAUCCAGCCCCUCAAGGCAGUCAUCUGUCUUAGAGCUAUUGGAAUCCUGGAUCAUUGUGGGAAAUGAAAGGAACUGGUUUUUAGCAAGGAGACCAAGAAACUCUACUCCCUAGGGGCUAGCAAUGAGAGAAAGGAAGCCUUAAGUCUUUGAGCACAGGGUGACAGUUUGGGUCCUAUGUGAGAUGAUCAAAUCCACAGCAACAGAGGAAAGGACAAAAGGAAAAGAUACUUCGAUGGAAUCAGCAGCCAUUGAUCCAAUGCCAACUCCAAGACUGGAACGUCGCAAUGAUAGUUCCAAGGCGGAAAUUUGACGUAAUUCUUUUCGACACAGUUUUACAGACGAGAAACCCCAGCUGAGGAGGCAAAUAUACUCAAGGAAAGUAAUAGUUUCCAAAUGCCUGGCAGUGCCAGGAAGGGGCCAUGUCCAUGGACCACUAUGUAAGGAUAUCUCAGUCUCUAGUCCAGCGUGGUUUAUGGUGCCAAAUAAGUGCCAGGUGAACUCACUACAUCUGACAAAAUCUCAAGGAACCAAGUUUACCAGAUAAUAUUUAUGAUUAUGUGAAAAAGACUGAGGAAAUCACUCAAGUGAUCCAUCAUACAGCACCUCCAGUUCCAAAGAAUACUGACUUACUUCAGCUGUACUGGUCUGGAGCUGCACAUUCUUUUCAGACAACUCUUGUUCCAGUAAGUUCAGGCGA
rnacentral:lncRNA from 1 species